GAUGAACGCUGGCGGCGUGCCUAAUACAUGCAAGUCGAGCGAAGCGGGGACGGGUGAGUAACAUGUGGAUAACCUCCUAUAAGACUGGGUUAACUUCGGGAAACCGGAGCUAACCCCGAUACUUAUCGAUGGAUCCGCGCUGCAUUAGCUAGUUGGUAAGGUAACGGCUUACCAAGGCAACGAUGCAUAGCCGACCUGAGAGGAUGAUCGGCCACACUGGAACGGAGACACGGUCCAGACUCCUACGGGAGGCAGCAGUAGGGAAUAUUGCGCAAUGGGCGAAAGCCUGACGCAGCAACGCCGCGUGUGUGAUGAAGGUCUUCGGAUCGUAAAGCUCUGUUAGUAGGGAAGCGGUACCUGAACAGAAAGCAACGGCUAACUACGUGCCAGCAGCCGCGGUAAUUC
rnacentral:rRNA from 1 species